UACAGCAGUGAAAGAAAACAAGUAAUACUUGUAACCAUAUAGCUUGAAAUUAGCUAUUUUUAAUAGCGACUAGCAUUAUUAGCACAAUUACCAUCUCCAUCUAGUUCACUCCAGGCUGCAAUGUGAACGUAGCCUUCUUGAGGGCCAAAAUUGGCCCCCGGGCCACACUUUGGACACCCCUGACCUAAGCCGUACAGCUGGAUUGGGUUCUCUCUCCUUCUUUCAUGUUUUUCUCACAGAAACUCGCCUGAGCCGCUACAUGGAAGCGACUCGGCGACUCCAACGGACAGGUGCUCCUCUUCUUUAAUUACGUCCAUCUCUCGCUCUGUAGAGCAAACAGCUCCCUCCUCCUCCCUCCGCUGAAGAACAAACACGUUCUUCCUUCAUGUGCACAUCCUUCUGCAGCUCACAGAUCGCCGGCUGUCUCCACGUGCAGGAUUUUCAUUACAGACCACGUCCACGGCAAAUAUUGGUUCAGGGGAGAUGUUUCAUUUUCUGUGGAAGAGUAAACAUCGGCUGCAGUCUUUCCGUCUGCAGGCCGCCGAACCGGGUUUUGUUUUUGUUUUUGUUUUGUUUCUGCGGCGCACGACUCGGUAAUGAGCUGAAGAGCAGAAUAUGAAGCGGGAGAUAAAUGGCACCGCAUCUCUGAAAAGGCAGAGCAGAACGAACAGAAGGGACUUCAAUUUUCUGAUAACCAGCCAAGGUUGCCAUAGAUACAACAUCCUGUACAAGAGCGAGCGCCGGCCCCUCUCCUCUUCCUCUUCCUCAUAACCGUUUUUCUGCUCCCAGCCCUCGUUUUUCCCCUCACUCUGUCUCUUUUCACUUUGCUUUUCAUCAUAAACGAGGGAUGAAGGAGCCUCCUGCAACUCUCGGCUCCUUUGCUCUCUGCUGCGUUGCCAUAGAAACAGGAGGAUGGAGAUGUACGUUAUGCUUUUCCCCCACCGUGAGAAGCAGACGGAGCAAUGAUGAAGACAAAAAAAAAACGAUAAAAGGAAGAGAGGACAUAAAACAGAUUCAAAACCUGAGAGAUGUUCUGGGUUUUACUAGGAAAUGUUUAGUCACAUGAAACAUCAUUUUAACAAUUCAUCCGACAUAAAACAAAAAUGGUCCUAAAACGCCACAUCCCCAAAAUAAACUGGAGUUUUAGUUUCCAGAAAACUCGAUGUUUUCUGGGAACAGAAGCCUGUAAAUUGGAACAAAAAAGCCCAAGCAGACCACAACCCGGCCAUCAGCCAACUGUGUGCUUUGCUUCUGCCAACUUCAUGACUCUUUUUGGUUGUUUUUGAAACCAGUUUUUGCCAGUCUGGUGAUUUUGGCCAACUUGGCACCUGAUUCGGAAACUGUGUCUAAUUAGGUCGAGUUUUACUCUCCACCUCCCUUUAAGGGAUGCUUUGUGAUUUAUUUCAAUUCUGGGUCUAAUUUCAUUAAGUUCUGCACCAAUUUGGGUCAAAUUUUGUGCCUCAUUUUGGACGUUCCAGUGUGAAUGUUGAUGAAUUACGCAUCUCGAGGGGAAAUUUUGUGGAUAAAAUUCUCAGCUCCACCUGUUUAGCCUCAUAUCGAACAUUUUUGAGUCUGAUUUUGCCCAGUUUGGCAUUUCAAUUUGGUUGGCUGAACAUCUCCUUCUUUUGUUGGACUGAGCUUAAUUUCAUGCAACCUUAACUCUUACCAGUUAAAUCUAGUUUGGUGUUUUGCUUCCAAUUUUCCCCAAAUGUCAGUUUAAUUUAUGCUAAAUUCCAGAAUAUUUUCCAUCUAAAGUGGACAAAUUUGACUUAUGCUAACAUUUGGACCAGAUUUAUGCCUCAUUUCUGUCAACUUUGGGAAUCAAGUUUGGUGAAUUUUACAUCCAAUUUCAGCCACGUUUGUGUCUCAAUUUGACUUCAUUCUUGCCCAUUUCAGACAACUUUUUGAAUUAUUUCAGACGAUCUGGGUUUUCCCCUCUGCGACUUUGUGUUGUACUCCAUACAGAUUAGCAUUAAAUUUUGGUACAUUUUAAUUUAAUUUAAUCCGGUCCAUUUGGCAUCUCAUUUAGGCCCAUCAUGAUAACAAAUUUUGCUGGACAAUAAAUUGUCCCAGAAGUUAUUCAAGAUAGAAUUAUAGUGUAGUUUUGAGACCAUUUUCAAGUAGCGUUAUAGUAACGGCAUAACAAUGCCAGAAAAGAUUCUCACAGAUCAAUAAACUUCAAAUUCUAAUAAAUAUUUAUCACUAGACAUGGGAGACAUUUUAAAUAUCCACAAUAAAUAAGCAACAGAAACAACAAAUAAAAUUAAUUAUGAGGUCUGUAAACCAAAUUAUCCUUCAAAAAUAUAUCCAGUUGAGACCAAACUUUAACUCUCAUUUUGGCACAUUUUAUGGUUCCGUUUUUGGGCAAAAAUAAGAACUGAAAACUAAAAACUCCUGCACAAUUCAGCACUCUUUCUGCGAUCAUCAUCUUCCUGAUUAUAUGAGAAAUAUUUGCUGAGUUGCAGGAAAACUUGGAUUUUUUUCCCCACCCUCUUCUCUGGGUGACUCAUGAGGAAACACUCGAGCACCAGAGAAGAAAGAGAAACCAAAGCGGAGGAAGAUGAGGAGGAGACCAGCAGCUGACCGAGGAGAAACUCAACAGGUGUUCAGCUCGCCACUGGAAAGGUCAAGCAGCCAUUUUGCAGAAGGUGAUUGCUGCCGGACUUCAUCAGACCUCUUGCAAAGCUGCGGCUCUCGAAGCGACGGAGUCACUUCCUUCCAGCCAUCGGCGGCUCUUAACUUCUCCAUCUGCUACAGAGGGGCGCAGAUCGCCGUUUGGCAUGACGACGCAGCUGUGAGGUUUGACGUCUGCAGCUGCGUGGGCGGGCACAGCUGCAGGUUUCUGUGAAGAAACGACUCCGAGAAAGUUUCUGCGUCACCCGAGACAGGAAGUAGGAACGUAAUCAAGAACUGAAGCUGCUGCAGGACGAUGCAUACAGGAACGCCACUUCGCACUUCCUGCAGGAGAGCAGCAACAGUUUCUGCUCAAUGUUUUCCUCCUGUGAUCAGUAUAAACACUUUGGUGUGCAACAUCCAGGAAAUAUUCAGGGUCUUCUCAGAAACAUAAGAAUUUCAACCCGUGCCCACACUCCCACGUGCUUUUUUUCGAUGAUGUAUCAAGUUUCUACUGCUGCAAAUGAAGCUACUAACUUCACGCUGAAUAAAUAAAGAAUAAAGAAACACAGAUGCAAACAAGAA